rnacentral:rRNA from 1 species
GACGAACGCUGGCGGUGUGCCUAAUACAUGCAAGUAGAACGCUGAAGGAGGAGCUUGCUCUUCUGGAUGAGUUGCGAACGGGUGAGUAACGCGUAGGUAACCUGCCUGGUAGCGGGGGAUAACUGUUGGAAACGAUAGCUAAUACCGCAUAACAGUAGAUGUUGCAUGACAUUUGCUUAAAAGGUGCAAUUGCAUCACUACCAGAUGGACCUGCGUUGUAUUAGCUAGUUGGUGGGGUAACGGCUCACCAAGGCGACGAUACAUAGCCGACCUGAGAGGGUGAUCGGCCACACUGGGACUGAGACACGGCCCAGACUCCUACGGGAGGCAGCAGUAGGGAAUCUUCGGCAAUGGACGGAAGUCUGACCGAGCAACGCCGCGUGAGUGAAGAAGGUUUUCGGAUCGUAAAGCUCUGUUGUAAGAGAAGAACGAGUGUGAGAGUGGAAAGUUCACACUGUGACGGUAUCUUACCAGAAAGGGACGGCUAACUACGUGC